GCGCCGUUGGUGAAGAGGUUAUCAUCCCACCCUUCCAAGGUGGUUUCCCGGGUUCGAAUCCCGGACGGCGCA
rfam:Allomyces macrogynus ATCC 38327 genomic scaffold supercont3.45, whole genome shotgun sequence.